GUGUGUGUGCAACGUCUCUUUAGAUGUCAAGAAUCCGCAAGACGCUAUAAUAGACAGACAUCUUAUUAGACCAUGCUCAACCAAAGGAGCUAUUGAGAGAAUAAACUUCAACUUGGGUAUCUCCCCUAUUGAAGGUGAUUGGUCAAUUGUUGCUAAACGGAGUUGCGAUGUAAAAGAUAAAAUGGUUGUAUAUAUUUGAUGUAAGGACGAUGUUGUUUUCUUUAUGCAGGAUA